UACGAAGGGGGCUAGCGUUGCUCGGAAUUACUGGGCGUAAAGGGCGCGUAGGCGGGCGUUUAAGUCAGAGGUCAAAUCCCGGGGCUCAACCUCGGAACUGCCUUUGAUACUGGACGCCUAGAGUAUGGGAGAGGUGAGUGGAACUCCGAGUGUAGAGGUGAAAUUCGUAGAUAUUCGGAAGAACACCAGUGGCGAAGGCGACUCACUGGACACAUAUUGACGCUGAGGUGCGAAAGCGUGGGGAGCAAACAGG
rnacentral:rRNA from 1 species